CCUACGGGUGGCUGCAGUGAGGAAUAUUGGUCAAUGGACGAGAGUCUGAACCAGCCAAGUAGCGUGAAGGAUGACUGCCCUAUGGGCUGUAAACUUCUUUUAUAUGGGAAUAAAAUGUUCCACGUGUGGGAUUUUGUAUGUACCAUAUGAAUAAGGAUCGGCUAACUCCGUGCCAGCAGCCGCGGUCAUACGGAGGAUCCGAGCGUUAUCCGGAUUUAUUGGGUUUAAAGGGAGCGUAGGUGGAUUUGUAAGUCAGUUGUGAAAGUUUGCGGCUCAACCGUAAAAUUGCAGUUGAAACUGGCAGUCUUGAGUACAGUAGAGGUGAGCGGAAUUCGUGGUGUAGCGGUGAAAUGCUUAGAUAUCACGAAGAACUCCGAUUGCGAAGGCAGUUCACUGGACUGCAACUGACACUGAGGCUCGAAAGUGUGGGUAUCAAACAGGAUUAGAUACCCUAGUAGUC
rnacentral:rRNA from 1 species